rnacentral:misc_RNA from 1 species
UUUUUUUUUUUUUUAAUUUUUUCUGUGCAAUUCUGUGAAAUAAUGGCUCUAUUUUGAACAAAAAAGUCAAGCAGUAACGUAUGUCAAAAAUAGCUAAAAACUUGAUUAUACUGUUCUCUCAUAUUUCUAGACUUAAUCCCAUCAUUUACAUUUUGAUCAAGUCAAGAAUCCAUUCUUUCCAAAACAAAUACAAAAUCAAAUCAAUCAUCCCUCAUAUUUGGAGCUUCAUAACUGCAAAAUGUUUCAACAGAACAAGUAGAUAAAAUCUUGGCUUUCAAGAAACAGCAAAGACAUACACUUUUAUAAUGUAACCAAAUUUAAGCAGUGAAGAAGAAUAUAGAUUCCAAACUCUUUCAAUUUAUGCAUCUCGUUGUCUACGCCCUUUCUUUCCAAUCUUCUUAAAUAUAAACCCAAACCAUUUGGUUAAUAAAUCAAUGGUAGAUCAACAUUCAAGCUGUGCAAGAAAAGGCUUUUCCCUCUUUUUUUUAUUUUUUUUUAAUACAAGGGCAGAAUUGGUAUAAAAGUAAAUUCAUUAAUUAGGCUGUGGCAAUAGCACCAUCCAUGCAUAAAAGAUUGACAUAUCUUUUGGUGAGAAGUAGUGAAGCAAAAAAUAAGAGUAAAACUCCAGUAAAGUAACCAAUCCAGAAUACAGCAAAGGAAUCGAAACAAAGAAGAUAUACUUGAUCUCGAGGAAACAAGACUGUGAUAGACCUAAAACGAAAGAAAGAUUGAACCAUUCUAUUAACCCAUAAAACUGAUCCAACAAAUGAUUUGAAAAUAUACAACCAGAGAUCAUUUUUCUUCAGCACCAAAAAUAUGAAACAAGUCUAGAGUUACCAGCAAACAAAUUCAUUUAUUAAGCAACAAUUAGAAUUUGACAUUAACAUCAACCAUCAACAGAGUCCAAAUAACCAGUCAUAAAGUUUUGCUAUACUUUUAAGUAGAGAAACUAAUGCAACUACUACAUAUCUAUGGAAUGUGAAUUCUCUUUUACAAACAGGAAAUCCACACAAAAGUUUGACUUCUUGUCAUGCAACAGUAAUGUUGAUGCUAUUUCCAAGUAGAAGAAUGGAAAGAUAAGCAAAUGCUAUGAACUGAAUAAAAUCAGCAAUAAUGAAAUUAUUGGAAAGUUUAGUGCAUUGUAAAAUUAUCUAAGAACCCUUCACCAUGACCACACAAAAGCUAUAAAACAUAAAAAUGAAAGAAAGAAGAAAAAGUUAUAGCAUAGAUGCAACUCACAAAUUCUUGAUAUUUCAAGGGGUAGCAAUUGAUCAUCUUAAUCAGACUAUCCAUGUAGCAAUAUUCCGAUGUUCAAAGAGUAAAUAAUGUGACCGGAGUUGAACAAUUAAAUGUAAGUCCAUCAUAUGCUUCACUCAUAUCACCCACCAACACUUGUGCCACUUUCACUAUUUCCAUUCUCAUAGUAUUCAUCAAAAUCUUCCUCAGAUGAAGCAACAAUAUCAUGGUCAAGUCCAUUGUCUAAACUGUUAAGAAUUGGAAUAAUCCAAUUUCCACCUGUUGUACCUCUAGCAUGUGCUGUAGAAACCAAACUGUCACUUUCCUUCUUAACUUCCUCUUGAGGUUGCAACUCUCUUGUAUUUCGAGAACCAAGUAAGACAAGGUCUAACAUUUUCCUCCGAACAAUAGAAAUGGAGUUUGGUGAAAUCAAGCACCCCUUGACAUAUGCUUCUCUAAGAAACACAGUAUGUGCACUUCCCUUUGUUGAUAUAUAGAAAAUUCCAGGAUGUUUCAAAAGCAAUUCUCUCACAUUUACUUCCAUACCAAAAUCCUUUCUAAAAUGUGCCAAUCUUUCAACCUCAACCAUCUUCUCCACAGUUAAGCUCAAGAACUCAUGAAUUAUUGCAACUGCCUGCUUCUCAUACCGCUCUACCCCUCCACGAGUACGCACCUUAAAAACGUCCUUUGUUUCAUAGGGUUUCAGAUAAGGAAGCCUUUGCCAAUUCUUCAUUUUCUCUUUCAUCCCUCCCUCAAUCUUAAACCCUGUGGGAUAAUUAAUGAGAAAGGCAAAUUUAAUCUCAAACUCACUCAACCACUUCUCCCUAUAUUCCUUCUCUCUCCAUUUCUCAAUUUCAGCCAGUCCCAAAUCCUCAGCUUGGUCAACUAGUUCCACUACUUCCAAAUCAACUAACCUAAAAUGAUCUUUAUACUUACCUAAAAUCGAGUCCCUAAAAUCUUCUGGCAGACCCAAUUCUCUCCUAAUCAACCUCAAAGCAUGAACGUGAAGAAUUCCACUUCUGGAAAUCAACAACAACUUCUUUAUUCUCCUCACAGAUUCCAAUUCACACUCCUUAAUAAUAUUCUCUUCUUCACCAAUCAAAUCACUCAUUUUCUUUGUGAUUCUACAACAUAGAUUCCUCCUAACAUGGUGCAUGAAUACCUCAAACACGUGAGGGUAUUUCUGGACAAAUGCACCCACACUCAAGUUCAAUCCGAUAAUGUUUUUCCAACGGGACAUCAAUUGCACAGAUACAUAAGGGCCGCGUUUUCUACUGGACAUAAGCUCGUGAAUUUUGAGGAUGGUUUUGAGUUUCUUGAGGUGAGUAGUGAGUUUGUCCAGUUUAGAGUCUCUAGUUCGGUUCUCCAAGCGGGUUUGGGCAGUAUCUGCUGGUUUUCUCCAUCUUUUUUGAACAAAUGAGUUGAACGGACCAAAUGGGAUUUUGGGUGAGCUUCUACUCAGUGGAUUAGAAUGGGUUCUGACUUGAAGUAUUAUUUGGAAGCGAAAAUUUUCCAACAGAAUCAUAUUCUUUGAUUAAACCCUCACCAAAAAUGUUGAGGUUUAUUGAUUUGAAUCAUAAUAUCUACUUGACACCAAAAAUUCAACGGGAAUACAAAUUAGAACAGAAAUUAAUGAAAUACCAGCAAAUAACUUACUUUGGCAAGUUGCAUCCCAUCACCACCAGCAGUCUCUCUCCCUUGUCUAUCCCAUUCUUUGAUAAUGAUUCCCACAAUAGAAACGAAAGCAUUAAACUACAUGAAGAAUCAGACCAAGAAGCGAUGCAAGCAAAAACCAUCAAGAAGAAUUGCUUACAUUCCCUUCAAAAAAAAAAAACCUUUACAGAAUAACAGUGAUAGAAGAUCAUGGAUUUUGGCGACAAUGGGCGGGUGGAGGCGAUCCAAGCCAUGAAAACGGCUUCUUUAAACAAGGAGAGGAAUUAUAAU